AUAUCAAUAAGCGGAGGAAAAGAAAACAAAUGUGAUUCCCCUAGUAGCUGCGAGCGAAAAGGGAUCAGCUCAAAACCGAAUCUGGCCGCCCUAGCGGCGGUCCGAAAUGUGGUUUAAGGACUUGGCUCGGGUAGGUUGCAGCGGUCUAAGUCACCUGGAACGGUGUGCCAUAGAGGGUGAUAGCCCCGUGAGACCGUUGUCGGCCGGCCCGCAUGAGCUUAGCUCCAAGAGUCGCACUGUUUGAGAGUACAGUGCUAAGACGGGAGGUGAGUAUCUCCUAAAGCUAAAUAUUUGUCUGAGUCCGAUAGCGCACAAGUACCGUGAGGGAAAGUUGCAAAGAACUUUGAAAGGAGAGUUAAAAGAACCUGAAAUCGCUAACGGGGAAGGGCUCGGGCAAAUCGCGGCCUCUUGAAUUCCCUCUGUUAAGUCUGUUCAAACCGGAUGGUAGAGCCACUCUUUUGUGGCCGUCUGACUGGGGCGCACGGGUAGUAUGGAGCUACUUUUCUAAGCCGGGUGGGUUUUACGAGAAGCGGCUGAUUGGGGCGUGAGCGGGGUAUUCAUGGAUUGGUUAAUUUCGGUUUGUGGAACGAAAGCUGGCGUUUUCCGGCUGCCC
rnacentral:rRNA from 1 species